rnacentral:rRNA from 1 species
CCUACGGGAGGCAGCAGUGAGGAAUAUUGGUCAAUGGGCGCGAGCCUGAACCAGCCAAGUAGCGUGAAGGAUGACUGUCCUACGGGUUGUAAACUUCUUUUAUAAAGGAAUAAAGUGAGGCACGAGUGCCUGUUUGUAUGUACUUUAUGAAUAAGGAUCGGCUAACUCCGUGCCAGCAGCCGCGGUAAUACGGAGGAUCCGAGCGUUAGCCGGAUUUAUUGGGUUUAAAGGGAGCGUAGAUGGGUUGUUAAGUCAGUUGUGAAAGUUUGGGGCUCAACCGUAAAAGUGCAAUUGAUACUGGCUGUCUUGAGUAGAGGUGAGGUAUGCGGAAUUCGUGGUGUAGCGGUGAAAUGCGUAGAUAUUACGAAGAACUCCGAUUGCGAAGGCAGCUUACUAAACUGGCACUGACAUUGAGGCUCGAAAGUGUGGGUAUCAAACAGGAUUAGAUACCCGAGUAGUC